GGAGUCUGGUAGUGAUAUAAAGAGACGUUAUCAGCCGGCUGUCUGUCUCUCUCCUCACCAGAUGUUAGCUGUGAUGUCGUUUGUUGAUUGAAGAAGAAGAAGAAGAAGAAGAAGAAGAAGAAGAAGAAGAAGAAGGGAGCUCUCUGCUAAAACCACCUGUGUGGAGGUUGACGGUUCAUGUAGUCCAAGCUAAAUGCUGCAGCUGGAUGCUAACUCGAGUUUCCCCCUGAGAGGCACUAGCCUGAGCGCUAACAGGUGGAACUCAAAGGCUCUCUGCCAGACGGUCAGAGCAGCUGACGGACUCUAAUGGAGUGGAUCAUCUCCUCAAACAGAGGCGAUCUUCGCCACCACCACCACCCUCCUCAUCUCGCGUGACGCCCAUUGGAACCGGAGACACCAGAUGUUAAAGGAGCAGUCCGUCUGCAGAAAAGCUGAGUGUUGAUUGGUCCACGCCGUGUCCCUCAGGAACGACUGGACUUCUUCCUGUGAUGUAAUGAAACACGGAAGGGUGCAGAGGACACGCCCACAAACAGCCAGACUCCCAGACAGACCAAUAAGGUUCGAGUGGGCGUGGCCAGAGAGCGGUGACGCAGGGGCUGGGCCACGGCAAGCCAACGGAGUAUGCUCAGCAGAGUGAGGAAGAGGAUGCUGA